AAUCACUAUCGCCAAACCCACCAGACUCCGUUUAAAUGAACAGUAACUGUACCAUUGUAAAACAAACUUUAUUCAAAGUCGAAAGAAACAAAAUAAAAGCCGUCUUGGUUCAUCUUUCUACUGUUCCAACAAUCACCAAUCUGGUUUGGCUGAAAUAAACCCUUAGUUCACUCAUUUACAUGUGACGAUAUGCUGGCUCUAUACACGCUAAAAGUAGUGAUUAUUUCAAUGGAGUCUGGUGAAGAGAUGUUGGCUCUAUACACUCUAA